UACGGAGGUCCCAAGCGUUGUUCGGAUUCACUGGGCGUAAAGGGUGCGUAGGCGGUCGGGUAAGUCUGAUGUGAAAUCUCACAGCUUAACUGUGAAACUGCAUUGGAUACUAUCCGGCUCGAGGAAUGGAGGGGAGACUGGAAUACUUGGUGUAGCAGUGAAAUGCGUAGAUAUCAAGUGGAACACCAGUGGCGAAGGCGAGUCUCUGGACAUUUCCUGACGCCGAGGCACGAAAGCCAGGGGAGCAAACGGG
rnacentral:rRNA from 1 species